UCCAAUUUAUCACUGGCAGUCUCGCUAGAGUCCCCAACUUAAUGAUGGUAACUAGCAAUAAGGGUUGCGCUCGUUGCGGGACUUAACCCAACAUCUCACGACACGAGCUGACGACAACCGUGCACCACCUGUACAUCUGUUAGCCUCCGAACUUAUUUCUAAGCCUUUGCAGAGUAUGUCAAGACCUGGUAAGGUUUUUCGUGUAUCUUCGAAUUAAACAACAUGAUCCACCGCUUGUGCGGGGUCCCGUCAAUUCCUUUGAGUUUCAUACUUGCGUACGUACUACUCAGGCGGAGAACUUAAUGCGUUAACUGCAGCACUGACCUUUUGGCCAACACUUAGUUCUCAUCGUUUACGGCGUGGACUAC
rnacentral:misc_RNA from 1 species